rnacentral:rRNA from 1 species
GCCGGCGACCGGCAAACGGGUGCGCAACACGUACACAACCUACCUGAGCAGUGGGGGACAGCCCAGAGAAAUUUGGAUUAAUACCCCAUAUAAUUAUAGAGUGGCAUCACUUAAUAAAUAAAGACCAGCAAUGGUUGCUCUUAGAUGGGUGUGCGUCUGAUUAGGUAGUUGGUUGAGGUAACGGCUCACCAAGCCUUCGAUCAGUAACUGGUGUGAGAGCACGACCAGUCACACGGGCACUGAGACACGGGCCCGACUCCUACGGGAGGCAGCAGUAAGGAAUAUUGGUCAAUGGACGCAAGUCUGAACCAGCCAUGCCGCGUGAAGGAUGAAGGUCCUCUGGAUUGUAAACUUCUUUUAUCUGUGAAGAAAGGCGUCUUUUCUAAGGCGUUUGACGGUAACAGAGGAAUAAGCACCGGCUAACUCCGUGCCAGCAGCCGCGGUAAUACGGAGGGUGCAAGCGUUAUCCGGAUUUACUGGGUUUAAAGGGUGCGUAGGCGGGCCGGUAAGUCAGUGGUGAAAUCUGUGGGCUUAACCCACAAACUGCCAUUGAUACUAUCGGUCUUGAAUAGCGUGAAGGUGAGCGGAAUAUGUCAUGUAGCGGUGAAAUGCUUAGAUAUGACAUAGAACACCAGUUGCGAAGGCAGCUCACUGCGCGCACGAAUUGACGCUGAGGCACGAAAGCGUGGGGAUCAAACAGGAUUAGAUACCCUGGUAGUCCACGCCCUAAACGAUGGAUACUCGACAUAC